rnacentral:lncRNA from 1 species
CCUUCAUUUUUGGGACUGAUAUGUGUAGAAGGUGUUAUACACAAAGGUGGAUAGGUGAUUGUUUCCCAAAAAACAUCUCCAGGUUAGUCAAGGUAAGGCAACGUGUUUGAUUUAUGUUCUUUGGCAUUAGGUUUAUGGAGGAAGAUGAUAAAGAACUUAUCUGUGUCUCUCAAGACCAGCGAUUAGAAAACCUUUUUGUUGCAGUUAGGGAUCCGACGCUAACACAACUACGGUGGUUGCUAUGGUUGAUCUCAGCGAUAUUGGAAUAGUUCUAUCUCAAGGUUUAUUGAAUCUGGCGAUCGUCAUCAUCGCUGGAAAUUGGUUCUGAGCUGUCAUCGUCGAUUUCAUUAGAACCCUAGCAGCGGUGAUGUUGAUUGGCUUGGGCGUCGAUUACCAGAACCAUGAAUGGCGCUUUGGUGGAAGACGGUGGAGUUUAGUGAUGGUAGUCAUGAAUCCGGCAGCUACUAAGGUUUUAAAGUUAGUGGCGUUCGUUUCUUCUAUCUGCGUCGGGAACAAUACGAUCUUGAAGCAUGGUUUGAGCAUUUUAAAAGACCCCAAUAAACGCUCUGCUCUUGGUCCAGAAGGUUAGUUUAAAUUUCAAAUAAUAUGUACGCUCUAGACGGCCUUGCAUGUAAUUUCAAAUAAUGUGGUGUUUGUGAUGGUGAUUUGAUCUGCCACAACUUUUCUCAAUGAAAAGGACACGCUUUAGAGAAACAACAAGACAUGGGUGUCGAAAAUGUAGGUUUCGCUCCAGUGGUGAUCGAUUGUGAAGAAAGGUUGUUGCCUGGUCGGAGAAGAAGACUCAAAGGGUAACACCUCUGCUUCUUUGGGCGUGAAGGAUGGGUGACGUUGAGUUUUUUCGGAUUGGAGCACGCCGGUGAUGAGGGGGGCUUUGGCUGGAUAAGAAGAAGGGUGGGGUGGCACAAUAAUAUGUUGUUCUCUGAGUCUCAAUUUCAUCCCCAAUAACUCAAAAAAGGCAAUUGAAUCGCGCUUAAGACCUUCCUGUUCACUUGGCGCUAACAUGGCAUUGCCUUAUAUUGUUAACCGAUUGCAACUGGCAGUUGAAAGGGGGAUUUCUAGAGUUGAAAGUUCUACAGAUGCAGU